UAGCCGUAAACGAUACUCGCUAGGUGUCGGCCACGGUGCGACCGUUGUCGGUGCCGUAGGGAAGCCGUGAAGCGAGCCACCUGGGAAGUACGGCCGCAAGGCUGAAACUUAAAGGAAUUGGCGGGGGAGCACAACAACGGGUGGAGCUUGCGGUUUAAUUGGACUCAACGCCGGGAAGCUCACCGGAUAAGACAGCGGAAUGAUUGCCGGGCUGAAGACCCUGCAUGACCAGCUGAGAGGUGGUGCAUGGCGUCAGUGACU
rnacentral:rRNA from 1 species